CAACGUAGGUAACCUGCCCAUGUGUCCGGGAUAACUGCUGGAAACGGUAGCUAAAACCGGAUAGGUAUACAGAGCGCAUGCUCAGUAUAUUAAAGCGCCCAUCAAGGCGCGAACAUGGAUGGACCUGCGGCGCAUUAGCUAGUUGGUGAGGUAACGGCCCACCAAGGCGAUGAUGCGUAGCCGGCCUGAGAGGGUAAACGGCCACAUUGGGACUGAGACACGGCCCAA
rnacentral:rRNA from 1 species